UACGGGGGGUGCAAGCGUUGUUCGGAAUUACUGGGCGUAAAGGGCUCGUAGGCGGCCAACUAAGUCAGACGUGAAAUCCCUCGGCUUAACCGGGGAACUGCGUCUGAUACUGGAUGGCUUGAAUCCGGGAGAGGGAUGCGGAAUUCCAGGUGUAGCGGUGAAAUGCGUAGAUAUCUGGAGGAACACCGGUGGCGAAGGCGGCAUCCUGGACCGGCAUUGACGCUGAGGCGCGAAAGCCAGGGGAGCAAACGGG
rnacentral:rRNA from 1 species